CUUCAGCCUCCAAGCAGCACGGCUUGGGGCUCAGUCUCAUAAUGGCUGAUCCAUUUUCUUGUGUUAGCCUCACCUGUGGUGUCUAGAUAAGAGUGUCAGACUGAGCUUCUGGCACCGUGGAAACCGAUAGAUCCCUCUCCAUCUACCUGGAGCCCCAUGACUCCCAGCACAUAUCUUGCUACUUUAGUUUAUUUCCUUAUAAUCGCUCACUUGAGAAGAUGCCUUGAGCGUAGUCAUGGUUUGGUCUCAAGGGGUGAAUAGAACCAAAAGUUUUAUAAAAUGCCUCCUUUGUGAUUUUGUGGAUUUAAGAAAUUGACUCUUGAUAGAUGAUGGUGUGAGUACAGAGACCAUCACAGACAGUGAAUAGGAAUUUAAAGAGAUCUGUGAAAGAUCAAAAUAACAAACUUUCUGCCAUGAUUUCUCAGGGCAGUUCAGAUAUCGAAGAGACGUGGGCGCACAGAGUAGUCAGUGACUCUGCAUGAUAUUUGCAUAGAGAGAACUUUAAAAAGGUUACAUUUCUUUCCUACUUUCAUAUUUACUUUGUGUUAAGGUUAUAGGAUCUCGCUGGCAAUGGUACUGAUACUAUUUUUGUAAACUCUUAACUCAGUGUUCAAAUGGAUGGGAAUUUUGAGCAUCAGCAACAAUAAAUACAUAUUUUUUGUCCUUGUAACAUUCACACUGUGGUAUGCCUCAGAGUCAAUAAAGGUUGCUCGCUGCUUUCAACUCUAGAGCAAGAAAGAAACUUUUGUUUAUAAAUUUUAGAGAUUUUUGUCUUUGCACUUGCCCCAGAGUCAAAUGUAGAUAUCCACUUUAAGCACUUUUGGCAAAAUAUCAAAUACACCAGGUUUUAGAUAAGAAGAAAAAAACCCAGGUUUUCAUCCACAUAUGUCCUCUGCUCUUUGUUGUGGUAGGUGACUUCUAUUGGUCAAGCCUAUGCUUUUGUGGACUUAAGGAAUACAGAGCCUGUACAGGAAGUAAGAGAAGCAGGUGUGUUUUCUGGAAUGUCUUUCUGAUCCAUUUUAGUUAUGUCUAAUUUGGAAUAGGCUUAUGUAGCAUUUCAUAUACAAGAACCCUAUUUAUAGAUUCUUUACUCCUGCCCUCCAAAAAUGUAAAAUUUUGUAUUUAUUGGAGUGAAAUGGUCAGUGUUUAAAAUCAAUCAAAGAUUAUUUCAUUGUGUGUCAGUGUGUUUUAUAUUGGAUUUCCUUAUAAAGAUAUUUGGUGACAGAAGUUUGGUAUAAUCUUUAACUCGCCAUGCUUAGAUGUGUGUACUAGACAGAAAGCACCUUGUAGGGCAGGCUAUCUUGUUCUUUUUGUUAAUCCUAUAACACCUCAUGGGAGGCUCUUCAGGAAAUAAAGCAUCAGUUUUUAACUGUAUAGACUGUAAUUCCUGAAGAUAUCUGUGACCUUGUAUGGUUCUUGCAACCAUCUGGCAAGGUGGCUCAGGCAAGUCUUAUAAUCGUCAUUUCACAGAUGAUGAGUAGUGUCUCAGAGUGAUUUGUGAUACCCUCGUGUCUUUCAUCCAUUCAUUUUUUUUUUUUAAAUCUGAAAACUAGACACUUUAUAUUGAGCAAAAGGAGCAUUACCAGGCCAGGGUGGGAGGAAAAGGGCCACUGAGAAAUGGUUCAUUUGCAUUCAUGAGUCAACUUGGUGACAGUUGAAGAAGACUUUCUACAGAGCCAUAGAACUUGUCCAUCACCAGCAGCAUCUCUCUUCUAGAACUAGAGCAGGAUCAGAUUACAUUCCAGAUGGCCGUGAGCAGACCUCAGUGUGAAGGGCAGUGUGAAGAUUUCCAGAUGGGUGGCAGUGGAAAUGCAUUUCUGGCUUGAAAGUGGUCUCCGGGACACCUACUAGGUACAGUAGUUUUUCCUGAAGCUUUAAGACCAGCCCUUGGGUGCACCGCUUUUUCCUAACUUUGACCAGGUCUUGUUCAUCGGAGAUGUGGCAGACGGGUGGUUAUCUCUCAGACAGAAGUUGUAUUGAGAAUGAAUCAGCGACAACCAGCGUGACUCUGGACACAAGUCACCUUGUAUCUUUAGGUCACAGAUAUUCAUGUAAUAAAAUGUUCUUAAUGCUCACAUUGGGCUUGAGAGGCUUAAUAUUGAACUAAAUUUUGCACAUCAUUCUCAGCCUUGGCACUGUGCUGUAUGCAGAUGCUUUUUAAUACAACAAAUAGUUUACUGAACAAAUAGUUUACUGAACAUAUGAUACAUGUGGUUGACUGAGCAUAUGAUACAUGUGGUUGACUGUGCUAGUGCUGGCAAUAUGGUGGAAAGUGACACACACAAAGUACCUACCAUCAGGAGACAUAAAAACUAGUGGGGACAGAUGAGAGGAAAGGCAUGGCAGUUGGAUUAAUGUAAUGAAAAGAACUGUCCCUCAAUGGGAAUAGUUUUUUCAGGGUUAAGUAUGCUUGAACUUUCUGGUUGUCUUGGGUUUAAAUUACCUGGACUUCUUAAUGCCCUUAUAGUAAGGCUCUGCCUGGUCUUAGUAGCUGUGAAAUAUGUGGAAGUUUCAUGACCUGUUGGUGCCUUAGUUUUAUCAUCAGUGAAACAUCGGAGUUAAACUGUAUGAUUUUUAAAGUCUUUUCAGUGAAACAUUGAAAGGUUUUCCUUUAAGACCAGGAAUAAUACAAGGAUGCCCACUCCCACCACUCCUAUUCAACAUAAUUCUGAAAGGCCUAGCCAAAGCAAUUAUACAAGAAAAAAGGAUGAGACACCCAAAUUGAAAAAAAAAAAGUAAUAUUAUUUGUUUGCAGUGUUAUGAUCUUAUAUAGAGGAAAUCCUAAGUAUUCCACCAAAAAUCUUAUAGAACUAGUAAAUUCAGUAAAGUUUCAGGAUAUAAAAUAAAUCAGUUGCAUUCUAUAUUGCACUAUACCAUUUCUAUACUAGCAAUAAAAUUCCUAAAAUUGUAAUAAAGACAUCCUAUUUACAAUAGCAUCAAAUCUAUAAAAUUUAAAAUAAAUUUAACCAAGCAAGAAAAAGAUCUGUAUGCUGCAAACUUUGACUGCGGGAAAAAAUCAAAGAAGACACAAAUAAAUGGAAAUAUAUCCCAUGUUCAUGGAUUGGAAGAAUUAAUUUGAUGAAAUAUGCAUACUACUCAAAGUCACCUAUAGAUUCAGUGCAACCUCUAUCAAAAUUCCAAUGGUAUUUUAAACAGAAUGUGAAUAAAAACCCUGACAUUUAUAGAGACCACAAAUGAUUCUUAAUAGCCACAGCAAUCCUAAGAAAGAACACUUCCCUACUGUUUCAAAACAGUAUGGUACUGGCAUAAAAACAGAUUAUGAGAACGACAGAACAGACUAAAGAGUCCAGAAAUAAACACAUGCAUAUAUUGUCAAUUAAUUUACAGCAUAUGAGUCAAGAAUAUAUGAUGAGAAAGGACAGUUUCUUCAAUAGAUAGUUGAGAAAACUGGAUAAUCACAUACAAAAGAAUGAAAUUGACCCCUAUCUCAUAUGACUCACAAAACUAACUUGAAUUAUAUUAAAGACUUAAACAUAGUCUCUGAAAGCGUAAAACUCUUACACUGUCUCCUAGAAGAAAUCAUAAGGAAAAGGCACCUUGACAUUGGUCUUGGAAAUUACUUUUUGGAGCUGACAUCCAAAGCACUAGUAACAAAAACAAAAUUAAAUAAGUGAUAGCACGUCAAACUAAAAUGUUUCUGCAUAGCAAAUGCCCUUCCUCAGUUUCUUGACCUAUUAGGUGGGGCUAAAAAUAUCUUAUGGGGAUGCUGGUGCCACUGGACAUCACAAAUUACAAAAUGUGCAGUGUCUGGAAAGGAAAUGUGGGAUGAGGGAUUCUCCCUCCCGAUACUCUGGUAAUAACAAUCAUUUCACAUCCCCACUUACAAACCACCACUUCCAAUCAAACUUUUCAGAUGAAAUUCUAACUCAGUCCAGAGGCCGUGCCUGAUUUGAUCCCUGUCCAGGUUGCCAGUCCCAUCUUUACCCAGUCCCUCUCGUCUGGUUGUUUUGGUUGCUCAGAUGGGCAAGAAUUACCUUUCCACCCCAGGACCUUUGAACAUACCCUGUUCUUGGGUAAAAAUACUGUUUUAUCUUUCCAUUAACUCACUAGCCUUUCUUGACCUUGAGGUCUCAGCUUAAAUGUCACUUUCCCAUGGAGUCUUCCCUGAACUCUAGAAAACCCCAGACCUCCUCUUACGCAUUCCUAGAAUUCCUUUUAGUGGGAUACUCCUGUUAGUGGUAAUUAACAACUUAAUUCAUCAUUAAUUGUGUGAUGUCUGUCUGGUCACUGGGAUGUAAGUUCUGGGAGGGCAGAGCUAUAUCCAUUGAGUUCGGUUCUGUCCUCAGAUCCUGGCACUGGGUCUCACUCUGAGCAAGCAUUUGCUGAGUGUUCAUGAUAUAGAAGAAUGAAAGAAGUAAUGAGCUGAUGAAUCAACGAGGCCCACUGACACUUUCCUACAUGUUUUUAUCAAAAGAAGACCAUGAGAUGUGAGCCAUGGAGACUUUAGGAAAGUCACAGGUCUUCAUCCAAAGUUGUGUCCUUUUCACCCCUGAGGGCGGCACCACUUCCAAGGGGGCCAUUUGUCACCUGCGGCACAGCAGGCAGCCUCGUGUACCAAAUGAGCUGUGUCCACUCUGACCAGAGUGAUACACGGGAUGAUGAAAAGACACCACCUCUCUGAAACAGAUGCUUCGUUUUACGAUGGAAAGGGAGAAACCGCAGGCUGCAGGUGCGGGCGGGCUGACACGGGCUCUGUGGAGGAUCAUUAGCGCCUCCUCAGAGAGGCAGCUUUAACUCUGUUUAAUCAGCCACAGGCGGGAGAAAUGGCUUCAUUUCAGCUCGCAGAGAGCCAGAUCACAAAAGGAUGAUAGAUGGCCAAUAGGGUUCAUCACUAUCGGCAUAUUGCCUUAAUUUGGAGGGACAGCCUGGCACCCGCACUAAUCAGGAAGCAAGAUGGAAUCGGCUGGUGCCGCGGCCCAGUCAGGUCUGCUCUCGGCGCCCCUGAAGGAUGGCCUCCUGCUUGUUUCCUUAAUUAAUAUUUUAAGGAACGUGAGAACCAUAAAACAUAUGACUCCGUCACUUAAGGAGUUGCCUGGCUUGGAAUUCAGGACGCUGGAGGAAGGCCUCUUCAUACCGGAAGUGUCUGAGUUCCCGCCUAGAGACAAAGGAUGGCCGCCAUGUUGAUGGAGAGCCCGGCCCGCCAUUUGCUGGCUGCUAGUCCUGUAUACUGAUGUCCGCGUCGACCCGGAAAUAACUACAGGUGGAGACUGUGUUAUGUUUCUGUGGGUUCCUGUUUUCCCUGGCUUGGGCCUCUGUGGGCCUUGUUCUUCUAGAACACACCCUGGUGGGCUCUGUGCAAAUGGAUAUUCAGAUCAACUACACUUAGCUUCUGGCUUGCCCAAAAAUGCCAGAAAAGGGAUUUGAAGCUUGUGUGGGAGCAAGGAUGUGUAUCUGAACUCGGUGUCCUUGUCAAACCCCUCUUACUUGAAGGAAAAGCAGACAACGAGUAGUUUGGGCACUUAACACACAAUGGCUGUUUCAGAAUCAUUUGGUAUGUGUCACAUCUGAGUUUUCAUGGUAUCACCCAGCCCCAGCUCAGAGUGCUUUUAUAGCCCUCCCCACCCCCGUGACUAUUUUCCAGAUGUUCUGAAACAACAUCAAGUGACCCAGUUUACCUGGGAGAGGUUUAAAAAGGUGCAUUUAUGAGAGACUGGGGUGGGGGAGGCUGAGAUAUUCUCUCAGCAGCUUAGUUCUGGAUAAUCUCCCGUGAACGCAGUAUCGAAUCUUACUUUACCUAAGGCACAUUGAGUACUUGUUUUUGAAAACGAUAUGCUAAACACUCCUAAAGUGAAGAAGAAACUUAAGAAGCUUAACAAUGGAUGUAGAAAUAUUAUCAUCAGCUAUCAGGGUAACAGUAUCCAGUCGCUGCCCUCCUACAGGCACAGAUUUGGACUUAAGCAGAGGAAGACAAGGCGGUCGAAGUGUGUGGUCUCAGAAUGUGUAAUCAUCAGUGAGUUGGGGGAGGAAGGACUCGGUUAGCAUAAAACCUGAGCAGUGACAUUUGCUUUAGGAGCGGAAUAUGAUGAAAGUGAAAUCACAAUUGCAGAAAUGAGAAUGACGUACCAGGAGGCGAGCUGAGCUUGUGCACAGAUCUCUAUGGGGCGGCGAUGCCAUCGGAAGGAGAGAAGUCAGCAUGGCAGGGUGAUGUUUUCCUCUACCUUCUCCCUUCUGCCUCCUUGAUUGAUGAGAAUCAGAAUACAUGAACAGCAGGGGUUUGAAGUGCAUGGAGAAGAUUGACCAUAAGAGCAUCUUUAUAGUUGUUCCAUAGAGGCAUGGUGAGCGAGGACAUGAAGUCUGUGGCUCAGAGUGUGUCCGACACAGAAGCAGAAUUUCAUAUAGUAUCUCAAGUGCUUGUUUGCUUCCUGCAAGAACUGUGGGCGGAAAAAUAACACAAUGUUUCCUUCACUCUGGAUCUUCUGGAAGUAAACUGAUAAGCUUGUUUAUCUCUCGAUGAGCCGAGGGUGCAUAUGGAGUAUGGGGAAUCAACACCACCAUGGAUCAGGAACAAAAGGAGAGAGAAAAGAGGUCCCCCCUAAACUUGUGCCCCGUCCCACAACCUGCUGUUCAUGUAUACCGAUUCUGGUCAAUCAAGGAGGCAGAAGGGAGAAGGUAGAGGAAAACAUCCCCCGAUAUUUGUGCCCAAUAUUUUUCUUUUCCCCCCUGACUUAGUUCACUUAGCAUCAUCCUGGAAGAGAAAUCUUAAUGCCGAUCUUACUCGCUUUCUGGAACUUCAAUUCUAUAGUCAGAUGUCUAGGGUUUGUUGUGGUUUAGUUCUGUCUGUUCUUUCGUUUUGUUUCUUUAUAUUUCACAUAUGGUGUAACCAUCCGGCAUCUGUCUUUCUCCUUCUGACUUAUUUCACUUACCGUUGUCCUCUCCAGCCCCGUCACAUGGAGAGAAAUCCUUUUUAAAAUUUGUUAUUUAAAAUUUUCUUACAUUGUUCAUUUUGGUACAAUAUUAGAUUUCUUCUCUCAGGUGUAGUCCCCACAAAUCUCCCGCCACUGUAGCACCCGUGACCAUCACCAUAGUCCCUUGCGCUCUUCGCUCCCCUGUUUUGACCCCUCUUCCUCCCCCGCUGGAUGGCUCAGGGCUAUGGUUUGCUGCAAAUUUUGUCUUUUUCCUGAUCCUUCUUUUCAUUUUUCCUAUAGUCCCCCUUUAAGUGAGAACAUUUGAUAUAUUUUUUAAAGAUGUAUUUAUUUAUACAAGCACUGGGGUACAGGCCAGAGGCACAGGAGGGUGAGCAAAUUCACCAGAGACAGAGCAGGGAACAGAACAAGCAGAAGGACCGAAGUACACUGCUGAGGGGAGCAGCGGGCGAGACAGGAGAGGUCUGCCGCGCCAUGUAGGUAUCUCCCUGGCUGGCCGGGAAUUGAACCCGCACUGCAGAGGCUGCGGAACAGCUUCACAGCACUGCACUCAACCCGCUGUGCUACCAGGGAGGCUCGAUAUUUUUCUUUUUUCCUUCUGACUUAGUUCACUUAGCAUCAUCCUGGAAGAGAAAUCUUAAUGCUGAUCUUAUUCGCUUUCCCUGUUUCCCCUGAUCUACUGCUGGGCUUUUGAGCAUGGUGAACCAUGGAGAGAGAUGGGUGGAGCGGACCUGGGAUGUGAACUGUCUUCAUAGGUUUCAUUCUCUACCACUGCCAGGGUGGUUAGAUGCUUCUCUGCAGAACAGAAAACACUAGCCUCCCUUAGAAGCAAGCAACAAAGAUCUAGCUUUAUGUAGAAGACAGCUGAAGGCGGGGGUGGGAGGGGGAUGGAACUUAAAAGAGAAUUUCUACAUAUGCGAGGCACUUGCCUUCUCUGAGAUCCUAAGGACUAAGUUCAUGGCUGUUACUGAGGAAGGUGGGGUCUAGCCAACAUCUUCCUUUCAGACAGGCUGGCAUAUCAAAGGAGAAAUGCUUUUUACUUUGAAUCUAGAAAAUGUAGACUCUGUCACUGGGCUGAAGGAGGAGCAAAUGGCUUUGGAACCACAAGAGUAUUCCACAAAUUCAUAUUCUUUUCUCCUCUUCAUUCUGAUUUCUUUUGGUCCCCUCUGCUCCUUUUAUUUCCCUUAGAAUUUGUAUUAAAUUCGUUACAUGCUCUUAAGGGAGGGAAGUUCUCAAGGGUUUAAUCAAGGCAUAAGAUGCUAUGAAUAAAAAAGGUGGGAGGGGUGGGAAUCCACAGUGGCUUCAUUGAACGAAACCAGAACUCCCCUCAAGUGCUUCCCCCCUUUUGAAGAAAAAUAUCCCACCUCUCCUCCAGGAAGCCGAGUCUCAAAGGCCUUUAUUAACUUGAUCUUUGGGAAUAGUGUUUUAAUUUUCCAUAAUCAUCAUGCAAAUUGAUCAUGAUAAUCUCUGGAAAGGAAAAAAACGUGAGCCAAUGGCCUCAUUAACCGCGAUGCUAGCGGGACCCUCGUUCCUAAGAGCCGCUGCCCUCAGCCCCGGCCUCCUUUGUGUGUGACUCGGUCCAGUCCCCAGGGCCAGCGGUGACUCAUUCCCUGCCUGGCCUGUGUAAAUUGCCUCAUGCAUUUUACUCCCUCGCAGUGCCACAGGGGAAUCAUUUGAAAGGUCUCAACCUUAUGAGAGAAACAUUGGUGUUCUGUUAGAUUCCAGCCGGGAUCUGCACCUUUGCCUAAGCAGAAGCACCCUGUCCAUGUGCGUGUUUUAUCCACAUCUCGCCUUAAAGACCUCCAGGUCUCAAAUUGCUAAACUUUGGAAAAUAAAUGGAAAAAAUGAACAUGAGAACGUGCGGCUCUGAUGCCUGAUCCCAGUUGCCAUUCUGCUGAAUUCUGGGGCUUUUGAAAAAAUUUGUCUUAAUUUUUAACAGGGAAAAAUGACAGAGACAAGUAGAUUUGCCCAAAAUAGAUCGAGUGACCAAUUUUCGAGUUGGUUAUUCAUUUCAUGUAAGUGGCUCCACUUUUUAUUUUUAUAAACUGUAAACUUUAGGAGAAAGCCAAAUCAAAUGCAACACGCUCUUAGGGAUUGCCUGCUAUGCGCCAAGCAAGGUGAGACAUGUCCUCAAAUGCUGCCUCCUUCAUCCUUGUCCUACAGGUGAGGAAAAGGGAGGGCGGGAAGGUGAGAUGACCUGCCCAGCUGGGAAGUGGCAGCGUCCUUUGCAGAUCCCCCUCAUCAUUAAACAGGAUUUGAGGCAACUCUUUGCAAAUUAGCUUCUUUAGAGCUCUGGAGAGUGAGGCUGUUUUUCAGCGGCCCUUGUCCUGCUAGUGAUUAGGGAGGAUUCCCCGUAACCCUUGGAGUUGCUGGCUCUGUAAAGCUCUGGGUGGUGAGUAGAGUCGCUAAGUGUCUGCCUCCACUGAUUCAUUCGUCUCCGGCUGAAAAACACUCUCUCUUUCUUUCCUGGGGCAGACGGUUCCCUCCUUGUGAGGUCCAGAGGGGAGAUGCUCAUGGAGUUGAGGGAGGGGAGACACAACGAGUCUGCAACAAGUCAGGGUCACAUGUACGGCUCCUCUUGGAAAAACUCUCUCUCUCUUGCUGGGCUGCGAAGCUGCCCGCAGCCUCUGCAGCGACGGUUCGAUCCCCGGCCACCGGCGAGGGUCCCACAUGGAGCCACAGACCUCUCCUGUCUUGCCCGCUGCUCCCUUCAGCAGUGUGUUUCAUCAGUCUGCCUGUUCUGUUCUUCCCUCUGGCUCUGGUGAGUUCUCUCACCCUCCCGCACU